AAUAUAUUUCACACUUAGAAACUUUUUGCGUAUACUCUCAAUUGGAACUUAUGUUUUCCUUUUUAAAGAAAGAACAAGUGAUACUUCUCUCAUCACUGAUACAGUUUUGUAACUCAGUGUUUUGAAUUUUCUAUUUCAGAUUUUCCCAGGAGAAAGUUGUCUGUGCAGGUGCCCCGGACUCUGCCAAACGGUUGGCUUUCUAUCCAGCUCAGUCAUUUACUUCUGUUGCAGGUUUUAGACAUCCAUUUUUCCUUCUUAAGACAUCCAAGAUUUUCCAUCUUUACACAUCCAUUAUUCCAUCUUAACUUCAAUUCCAUGUUUUUUUUUUUUUUUUUCUGCAGGCUUAUAAAAAAGACACACUUGGGCUGAAAGGAAAGCACAUGUAUCAGAACAGACUUUUGGAUUUCUUUUACUUCAAACACACAUAGCAUCAUGUCCCGGAUGGCUUAAUAUUGAAGAGCACUUUAGAAAGUCAUUUGUACAGAUGUAUGAGCAUGCCUCUUAUAAAAAGAAAGGUACAACUGAAGAGCUCUAAUACUGUAAAGAAAUCCACUUAGAAGUGAAGAAAUAUAGGAAUGACAAUUGUCUGUGCAGCUUUGAUCGCGUAGUUUCUUAUAAAACUGUCUUUAAUCACCCACUGGACAGUCCUUCAUUUAGUGUACAAGAUCUUCAGCAUUCUUGGAUAAUGGGUAGGAGCGUUUUGCUGGUUUUUAAUUCUUUUUAUUAAAAGUGUAGUCUUCUGUUCCUACUUAUUGCUCAUUAGCCAGCUCCUUCCCAGAAGCUAAGUCCAUCCUGGAGUUCGACAUGUUUAACUCCCUGAAAGCGUUACGGUUCUUACAUUUGGUCUAUCAUUACCCUGGCUUUAUGCAAAGGUUUUACCAAGCAGUAAAGCUUUUCUUAAAACCCACUGAAAUGCUUUUCACCCUAAGUACAUUGCUUGGUUUCAGCCAGGCAGUUUCCUGAUAGUAGUAUAACACGGUAUCUUUUCAAAAUCCCAGUAGGUGGAUGCUUGGUUUGAGAACACAAUGGGACACUCAGUUGCACUGAUAUUUUAGGUCACAACUGUUAACAAUUCUUGGAAGUGUAAGAAGUAUUUAAAGGCCAGGUGGUUCAGGAAGCUGGCAGUGGAUUACGAGGCAGCAAAAUGUGGGAUAACUAAAAAGGUAAAGAGAGUUGUCUGCUGCAGCUUGCCUUUUGAAACAACACAAAUGGGAACAACUCAUGCAUGCAAACACGAAGAGGACAGCACAGGGUGGUGGAGUGCCUGCCUCUUCCUAGGGCAGGAUCAUACCUAAGGAAACAGCUUCGGGGUGAGGGCACCGGAUUGACAUCUUGCCUGAAACAACAGGAUUAUCUUGUUCCAUCUCUGCCAUCAGGCAUAAGGAAUGAAAGAUCCUGAGCCCAAAGGACAGCAACUAAUUGCUCCCCAGACAAGAUGGACUGCUUCCUCAUGAGGUGUUGUAAAGGAAAAGCUUCUCUCCAUUCAAAGCUGGACAGGUACAUAGAGAAACAGCAGCAUGGCCAGGGGGUGCAGUGACGUUCGUCCUUGUCAAGCUGGCAGUCUGUUCCCAGGACUACCAAGCAAAAACACAGCUGUAUGAACAGAUACCUUUUGCUGUUUCAGACUUCCAGACAUUUGAAUCCUUCUCAUGCACACGUUUUUACACACUCUGAGAUGUUAGAUGUUUCACCAUUGGAAUGCGUAACAAAUCGCUUCUCUUCACACAAUAUAGCAAGAGGGUUACACAAAGCUGAAUUGCUGCAACUUCAAGACGAGCAAGAGGGAAGAUCCAGGAAACCACAGGUCUGUCAGCCUCACCUCGGUCUCCAAGAUGAUUGUGGAAGAAACACUCCUAAAAGCCAUUUCCAAGCAUUUGCAGGACAUGAAGGUGACUGGGAACAGCAAGUGCAAUGUGACUUUACCAAGGACAAACCUUUGAUGAGAAGACUGGCUCAGCAGAGAAGAGCAGUGCAUGCUGUUUACCUUGACUUUAGGAAGACAUUCAACAUAGGCUACAAGAGCAUUGUGGGAGAAUAAUUUGUGAGAUAUGGAGUGGACCAUAAGGUGGGUGUGCAGCUGGAUGGGCUAUUGGGUACAGAGUGGUGAUCAGCAGUACAAAGUCCAACAGAACUGUCUGGUUUUAAGGGUGCUCAUCACAGACCCAUAAAAAGGCCCAAAUAGUUCAAGUCCUCAUUAAUACCCGAGCUAUUGCACACUUGGCAGGUUCUUGUAUUAUAUCUAUUUUAAGGAGGGGUGUAUGUGUCAACAGUCUGGCAGAUAAAGCUGCUAUUUAGAGGA